CCGCUCAGCAGCCUCGUCUCUGUUUGUUUACCAAGCCGAUAUCCUUAGAAGUGGUUUCCCUAGUGCUCAACUUCACGCUCGUUUCUCACUACCUGUCCUGCUCCGACUCGAUUCUCGUUCUGGAUUCUUCCUCUCGUCAUUCCUCCGCUCGCCCGCACUUGUCUCCGUCUACGCAUUGUAACAAUGGCUGGGCCAGACAGCAAGACACAAGAAGCUGCACUAAAACCUAUUUAUUUUUAUUUGUACACAUUAUUUACAUUAAUAUUUUUUAAGUUCUUCAGAGAAUAUUACAGAAAUACAGUAAAGCACAAUAUCGGCAUCGACCACUAACCUGCAUUGCUGCUUCAAGAUCUUUACGCUUGGUGCAUUCAUCCAAAGCAGAAGAACACUGAUCUUUACUCCACUCUGUCUGCUCUGUAAUACAUAAUUUAAUCUUUUUCUUUCCACACAAUUUGUCUAGC
ensembl:lncRNA